UGGGAAGUAACUACUCUGUUGGAGGGAGUCUUCAUAAUGACCUUAGGGAGGGAGGUGGUUGCAGGAUGGUGGGGGCAGCUUGGUUUGUUUUAACUGUAUUAAUGCAUUCAGUGCUCCAGCAAGACUGUGCUACUGAAGUUGGAAAGUAAGGCCCUGUGGGUUUCCACCAAGGACACAAAAAAAUAAUCUGAUGCCAGAUGAUAUCAGUAAUCCACUCCCCUAUAAUCAGUGGUAUUCAAGCAGCAGAGGCUUCCAAAAAAAAGGUACUUCUGUGGCUGUUUCAGCUGGUUCUUGAACUUUGAGCUUAAGCUUCUCUAUCGUGCAGCUUUUCUAUUAUUAUUAUUUUUUAAUUUUAAGAUUAUUUCUUGAUACAGUAUUAAAAAAAGAAAAGAAAAAAAUAUUAGUUUUCUAACAUUUCUGCGACUUUCAGUAACUGCACCAAAAAUGUACUUUGUUUUUGUUUUGCUCUGUGAUCCUGCCCUUAUUAAUUUCAGACUUUGCCAGACACUUUUGCCAGAUACAACCUCCUAUUUGUGAGCUUUUCUUUGCAAAAGAAACCUUCCUAUUCUUAUGAAAACGUCUAGUGAAUUCUUAUGAUCAGAUUUGGACAGCUAGCUGAGGAAAGAAUGCUGAG
rnacentral:lncRNA from 1 species